CCUACGGGAGGCUGCAGUGAGGAAUAUUGGUCAAUGGACGAGAGUCUGAACCAGUCAAGUAGCGUGAAGGAUGACUGCCCUAUGGGUUGUAAACUUCUUUUAUAUGGGAAUAAAAUGUUCCACGUGUGGGAUUUUGUAUGUACCAUAUGAAUAAGGAUCGGCUAACUCCGUGCCAGCAGCCGCGGUAAUACGGAGGAUCCGAGCGUUAUCCGGAUUUAUUGGGUUUAAAGGGAGCGUAGGUGGAUUGUUAAGUCAGUUGUGAAAGUUUGCGGCUCAACCGUAAAAUUGCAGUUGAAACUGGCAGUCUUGAGUACAGUAGAGGUGGGCGGAAUUCGUGGUGUAGCGGUGAAAUGCUUAGAUAUCACGAAGAACUCCGAUUGCGAAGGCAGUUCACUGGACUGCAACUGACACUGAGGCUCGAAAGUGUGGGUAUCAAACAGGAUUAGAUACCCUAGUAGUC
rnacentral:rRNA from 1 species